rnacentral:rRNA from 1 species
GAUGAACGCUGGCGGCGUGCCUAAUACAUGCAAGUCGAGCGAAUGGAUUAAGAGCUUGCUCUUAUGAAGUUAGCGGCGGACGGGUGAGUAACACGUGGGUAACCUGCCCAUAAGACUGGGAUAACUCCGGGAAACCGGGGCUAAUGCCGGAUAACAUUUUGAACCGCAUGGUUCGAAAUUGAAAGGCGGCUUCGGCUGUCACUUAUGGAUGGACCCGCGUCGCAUUAGCUAGUUGGUGGGGUAACGGCUCACCAAGGCAACGAUGCGUAGCCGACCUGAGAGGGUGAUCGGCCACACUGGGACUGAGACACUGCCCAGACUCCUACGGGAGGCAGCAGUAGGGAAUCUUCCGCAAUGGACAAAAGUCUGACGGAGCAACGCCGCGUGAGUGAUGAAGGCUUUCGGGUCGUAAAACUCUGUUGUUAGGGAAGAACAAGUGCUAGUUGAAUAAGCUGGCACCUUGACGGUACCUAACCAGAAAGCCACGGCUAACUACGUGCCAGCCGCCGCGGUAA